rnacentral:lncRNA from 1 species
CCUUUGCUGUGCAAAAGCUUAUCCGUUUGAUUAGGUCCCAUUGGCUUAUUUUUGCUCUUAUUUCUGCUGCUUUGGGAGACUGACCUGAGAAAACACUCGUACGGCGGAUGUCAGAGAGUGUUCUGCCUGUGUUCUCCUCCAGGAGUUGGAUGGUGUCUCGUCUCACGUUUAAGUCUUUCAGCCGUUUUGGGGGCAUUUUUGUGCCUGGUGUGAGGGCGUGUUCCAGUUUCACUGAUUUGCACGCAGCUGUCCAGGUUUCCCAGCAACUUGCUGAAAAGACUGUCUUUUUCCCAUUUUACGUUCUGGCCUCCUUCGUCAAAGAUUAACUGACCGUAGGUGUCAGGGUUUAUUUCCGGCUUCUCUGUUCUGUUCCAUUGUCUGUCUGUCUGCUUUGGUACCGGGACCACGCUGUCUCGAUGACUGUGGCUUUGUCAUUGAGCCUGAAGUCUGGGAGGGUGACGCCGCCUGCUUGGUGUUUGCUCCUCACGAUUGCGUUGGCCGUUCUGGGUCUUGUGUGGUUCCCUAUACAUGUUUGGAUUGUUUGUUCUAGUUCUGUGAAAAAGGUCAUGGGUAAUUUGAUAGGGAUUGCAUUGAAUCUGUGGAAACAAACCCAGCUAGUAUCCAUGAGGAUGCAGGCGUGCUUUGAGAAGGCAGAAUAUUGCCACACAAGGUACCUGCUGAUGGCACCAAGAAGAAAUCCCGGGAACCUCGGAGCCAGGAGAAAGAGAGACAGAAAGGGAGGGCAGCCAGGAGGGAGGGAGGGACAGAUGGACGGACGGAUGGCCCGAGAAAUACAGAAAGCUUAGCCACCUGAGGUUGCUUCCUGAAGGGCAGCAAAUCUCAGAAAGGUGCAGUUGGGGACGGGGAUGCCCGGGGGGUCCCAGGAUGCUUUCGGGGGGCCCUCAAGGUCAGAGCUGCCUGCUGUCCUGUGGUCCCGAGACCUCCACGACCUCUUCACGCUCAUUCUCUAAGGGACACACAGUGGCUUCCCCGGGUCACGUGAUGGCAAUGAUUGGCUCUUAUGAAGGUCGUGGAUGUGUGACUGCGUAUCUUUGACGUUUUUCUCAGUUACAGCUGUUAAUAACCUCAGUAUGGUCAGAUUCAGCCCACAGAACACGCAAGCUCCUUGGGAGCGUCUUUGAUAAUUGCCAGAAGCGAAAAGGAGCCCUGGGACCAAUCAGUUUCAGAACCGACGCUCAAGAGACACACGGCUGAGGCAGGGUCAGGCCUGGACGCUCCCGUGGGACAGAGGAGCCGAGCCAGGCAUCUGUGGACAGGCGCGUGGCCGCAGCCCCGAGAAGCCACCCGGCUUGGCCUCCGGUGCCCUCCUUGGAGCACUGAGUGCGCCUCCCGUGAGAUAAAGAGAGAGGGAGAAAGGAUGCCACGGGCACAGCGUCUUUCUCACUUUCUAACUCCCCCAACUGGCCAGGCUGGCACAAAAUUAGGGUAAAUCAGGAUAUACUUUGGAAUUGAGGGUCAGCUGCUGGUGCCAGAGAGGUUUGGGUUUCCACCUGAAAAGCUUUCUUCAAAACCGCUAAAACGUGGCUAAAACGAUCUUAAAUGAUAACCUGCUUCCAAGAGAGACCUCCCCGUCCAGGACCCCGACCCAAUGGCACCGUAGGGGCCCCAGGCCCCUUUCACUUGGGCUCUGGACCGAGGCCUGGAGUUGCGCGAUCCAGCAGCACCGGGAAUCGCGAAAACCUGGGAUCAGCCUGGCUCCUCCUCAUUCAAGCUGCACGACCGUCCCACAGCUUCCGCAAGAGAGGUGUUGCAGGAGGACCUGCUCAGGGCCGCAGGGGUGAAGCGGGGCGCAGCAGGCAGGGAAAGGCCACCUCAGCAGGUGGGGAGAGCGCUGGGGGCCGCAGCCUGGAGCUCACGGCCACAGCCGGGGGAUGCUGGACCGGCACGCCGAGGCGGAGACCUCACGCCUUCCCAACAAGUGCCACUCUGCACGUCCGACUUCCGCUUUUACGGUCGCCGCGCGGUCGCCUUUCCUUUCCCUGUCCCAUUUACCACAAAUAGGGCAGCCCUGUGGGCAGACCCCAGACGAGACGCCGAGACGCAGCCCAGGCCCCGCUUCCCAGAGCCUCUCAGCCGCUCAGGGAAACUCGAAGCUCAGAGCACAGACCCGCACGGCACCCACUACACCCACAGUAACCACGGCCGGCCCGGCUGGGAUGCUCUGUGUUCGGGGCAAGGCACUUUGGCACGUGCCACAACCGCUCCUCAGGAGGCCCCAAGGGUGCAGGUGCUGCUGUGUCACCCCAACGCGGAGGGGAGUCUGGGUCACAGGCCAGGUAACGUGUCGAAGGGCCCAUCGCUGAGGCCUGAUGGAGCCUAAACCCAGAACCCAGAAUCUCUGGCUCCAGGAUGGAUGCUCUUAGUACCUUGCUGUAGCCCCCCGAACCCAUCCACACCCGGGGCCCUGACGGGUGCAGCACACAGAGGGGGAGUCGAGAGACUGGAGGGGGGUCCUGGCUCUUCUGCUUUGCCCGGGAAACCUGAACAGCUUACGUAUCUGCCCUGAGCCUUCGCGUCUUCAUCCAAGACACGAGCAUGAUCAUCAGGCCAAACUCGAAACUCGGCAGGAUCCAGGACCCUAUGAAAUACUGCAGCGUCCUCUGGCGCCGCGGUUUCAAGUCCAGAGUGAGGGAACCAGGUUUCGCUGGAGGCUCUGCGGCCCCGAGAGGCCGUUUAGCCUCUCGAAGCCUUAGCUGCAUCCUCCCUACAAGAGCGAGAAUAAAAUACACGCGAGGAGACGGAAGGAAGAGAGUAGGCAUGAGAGAGGUCGGCGCAGCGCCCAGCAACCGUGCGGCACACGUUAGCUUGUCCGUUAGACACAAGGG